GAUGAAGAACGUAGUGAAAUGCGAUAAGUAAUGUGAAUUGCAGAAUUCAGUGAAUCAUCGAAUCUUUGAACGCACAUUGCGCCCAUUAGUAUUCUAGUGGGCAUGCCUGUUCGAGCGUCAUUUCAACCCUUAAGCCUAGCUUAGUGUUGGGAAUCUACUGUAUUGUAGUUCCUGAAAUACAACGGCGGAUCUGUAAUAUCCUCUGAGCGUAGUAAUUUUUUUCUCGCUUUGGUUAGGUGUUGCUGCUCUCAGCCGCUAAACCCCCCAAUUUUAAUGGUUGACCUCGGAUCAGGUAGGAAUACCCGCUGAACUUAAGCAUAUCAAUAAGCGGAGGA
rnacentral:misc_RNA from 1 species